rnacentral:rRNA from 1 species
CCUACGGGAGGCAGCAGUGGGGAAUAUUGGACAAUGGGCGAAAGCCUGAUCCAGCAAUGCCGCGUGAGUGAUGAAGGCCUUAGGGUUGUAAAGCUCUUUUACCAGGGAUGAUAAUGACAGUACCUGGAGAAUAAGCUCCGGCUAACUCCGUGCCAGCAGCCGCGGUAAUACGGAGGGAGCUAGCGUUGUUCGGAAUUACUGGGCGUAAAGCGUACGUAGGCGGUUAUUCAAGUCAGAGGUGAAAGCCCGGGGCUCAACCCCGGAACGGCCUUUGAAACUAGAUGGCUAGAAUCUUGGAGAGGUCAGUGGAAUUCCGAGUGUAGAGGUGAAAUUCGUAGAUAUUCGGAAGAACACCAGUGGCGAAGGCGACUGACUGGACAAGUAUUGACGCUGAGGUACGAAAGCGUGGGGAGCAAACAGGAUUAGAUACCCUGGUAGUCCACGCCGUAAACGAUGAUAACUAGCUGUUCGGGCACUUGGUGCCUGAGUGGCGCAGCUAACGCAUUAAGUUAUCCGCCUGGGGAGUACGGUCGCAAGAUUAAAACUUAAAGGAAUUGACGG